GGACAGUUACCCAGCUUGGCCACCGCCUUGCUGGGCGGGCUCUGAGCUCCAGGCUUCUCGGCUGAGAAAGAGGAUAUUCAGCGGGGGCUGUUGGAGGACAGAACCGGGGGAUGGCCUAACGCCCCGGGCCUGGGGCUCUGCAGGGCUGUGUGUCUGCCUUGGUUACAGAGUCAGAGAAGAGUGAAACAGCAAAGAUGGCGGAUUUUGGAAUGGUGAACAUCAUCCCUCAAUGAUUUUCUGUUUUGUGAAAAUUAAUAAAGGAAACGUCAACUAAAAUUAAAGUUGGAAAGCCUAUAGGGGGAGCUCUCAUGCCCUACCGCUCAUCCUCAAUUACCACAAACAGGGAGAGAUGUACCUUGCAUCUCCAACAGGAAACUGCCUACUGGUUUACCAUUCCAGCAGGAGGAAGAUUUUCUUCUUGCUCAACAACAGUCCUAGCCAACGGAAAACGCCACAGCUCAGCCAAUGAGGAGCCAUCACCACUCUGAACUCUCACUCUCCUCCAGUGGACUCUCCUUUAGUGCAGCCCCUCCCCAACCCUCCUUUUCUAUAAAAGCAGCUCCCCUCCUUUGUUCUCUGGACUUGCCUAUGAUUAACCAUAGUUUGCAUGUCCUGAGUUAGCUCAUUUUGUUGGUAAAAUAACUGGCUAUUUUAUUUAUUUUAAAGUUGACAGUUUCUUUCUACUUCCUUUAGGUUUGUUAUGCUUUUUCUAAUUUCUUAAAAUCGAUACUCAGAUUUCUGACUUUCAGACUUCUCCCAUUAAUAUAUGAUUUUAGAUCACAAAUUUCUCUUUAUAAGCAUGGCUUUAGCACCAUAUCACAAGUAAUAAUAUGUCACAUACACAUAAUAAUUUAAUAUAAAUGUUUUAUAAUUUCCAUUGUGAUUUUUUUUUAGUGUUGGGAUAUUUGGAAAUUUA
rnacentral:lncRNA from 1 species